UACGAAGGGGGCUAGCGUUGCUCGGAAUCACUGGGUGUAAAGGGUGCGUAGGCGGGGCUUUAAGUCAGGGGUGAAAUCCUGGAGCUCAACUCCAGAACUGCCUUUAAAACUGCAUCGCUAGAAUUGUGGAGAGGUAAGUGGAAUUCCGAGUGUAGAGGUGAAAUUCGUAGAUAUUCGGAAGAACACCAGUGGCGAAGGCGACUUACUGGACACAUAUUGACGCUGAGGUGCGAAAGCGUGGGGAGCAAACAGG
rnacentral:rRNA from 1 species